rnacentral:rRNA from 1 species
UACCAGCACCCCGAGUGGUCGGGACGAUUAUUGGGCCUAAAGCGUCCGUAGCCGGUCCUACAAGUCUUCCGUUAAAUCCACCUGCUCAACAGAUGGGCUGCGGAAGAUACUAUAGGGCUAGGAGGCGGGAGAGGCAAGCGGUACUCAGUGGGUAGGGGUAAAAUCCUCUGAUCCAUUGAAGACCACCAGUGGCGAAGGCGGCUUGCCAGAACGCGCUCGACGGUGAGGGAUGAAAGCUGGGGGAGCAAACCGG